AACAUCUCUUCUUGGUUUGUUUUUUGAAGUAUAGCCUGCCCACUGAUAUUGUUUGAAGGGCCGCGGUAUUUUGACCGUGCAAAGGUAGCAUAAUCAUUAGUUCUUUAAUUGUGAACUGGUAUGAAUGGCUUGACGAGGUGCUGACUGUCUUUGUGUUUAAAAGUUUUGUUGAAUUUAGUCUUCGGGUAAAAAUACUCGAAUUUUGUUGUGGGACGAGAAGACCCUAUAGAGUUUCAUGUAACUUUCUUUUUUUUUGUUUGUUAUUUCUUGCUGAGUUUGGUUGCAUUUUGUUGGGGUGAUGAGAAAAUAUGUUUAACUUUUCUUUUUAAUGUUUCACUUAUUUGUGUUUUCAU
rnacentral:rRNA from 1 species